rnacentral:misc_RNA from 1 species
GUUAAGCGUGCUUGGGCGAGAGUAGUACUAGGAUGGGUGACCCCCUGGGAAGUCCUCGUGUUGCACCCCCCCCCCUUCUUUUUGCAUUUUUUUGCAUUUUUGUGAUAAUGUGACGAAAGGAAACGCGCGUACGAGUGAACAUGGCUUACGAAAUUCGAGAAUAGUAACGUUUGGCAAUAUAGGAGUAAAAAAGAAAAAUCUU